GGGCCAUAAGGAAUAUAAAACAGAGUAAAGCAGGGAUGCAGGAAUAUAAAGCAGAGGAAAGCACACAGAUUCGUAACAAACAUAGAACACGGAACACGGAACAGAACAUUGAAUACGGAAUCAUACCAGGAAUACACCCCCACCAAUUACCUCCCUACAUUAGCGACCCGAACAGGCCCUAAUCCUCUGCCGUAAUUCGCGUCUUCCAGACCUUCCUAUCUAGGGUCAUGUCCUCGGUAAGCUGUAACUGUUCCAUGUCCCGCCUAAUCACCUCACCCC
rnacentral:lncRNA from 1 species